UACGUAGGGUGCAAGCGUUGUCCGGAAUUAUUGGGCGUAAAGAGCUCGUAGGCGGUCUGUCGCGUCGGCUGUGAAAUCCCGAGGCUCAACCUCGGGUCUGCAGUCGAUACGGGCAAACUGGAGUGUUGCAGGGGAGACUGGAAUUCCUGGUGUAGCGGUGAAAUGCGCAGAUAUCAGGAGGAACACCGGUGGCGAAGGCGGGUCUCUGGGCAACAACUGACGCUGAGGAGCGAAGGCGUGGGGAGCGAACAGG
rnacentral:rRNA from 1 species